rnacentral:rRNA from 1 species
GUUAUAUGGUCAAGCGAAUAAGCGCACACGGUGGAUGCCUUGGCGGUCAGAGGCGAUGAAGGACGUGGCAGCCUGCGAAAAGUAUCGGGGAGCUGGCAACAAGCUUUGAUCCGGUAAUGUCCGAAUGGGGAAACCCACCCGCUUGCGGGUAUCCUGCAGUGAAUACAUAGCUGCUGGAAGCGAACCUGGUGAACUGAAAUAUCUAAGUAACCAGAGGAAAAGAAAUCAACCGAGAUUCCGUAAGUAGCGACGAGCGAACGCGGACUAGCCCUUAAGCUGAUUUGGUUCUAGGAAAACGCUCUGGAAAGAGCGGCCAUAGAAGGUGAUAGCCCUGUAUCUGAAAGGGCCAUUUCAGUGAAGACGAGUAGGGCGGGGCACGUGAAACCCUGUCUGAACAUGGGGGACCAUCCUCCAAGGCUAAAUACUACUGACCGACCGAUAGUGAACCAGUACCGUGAGGGAAAGGCGAAAAGAACCCCGGAGAGGGGAGUGAAAUAGAACCUGAAACCGUGUGCGUACAAGCAGUAGGAGCUCCGCAAGGAGUGACUGCGUACCUUUUGUAUAAUGGGUCAGCGACUUACUGUUCGUGGCAAGCUUAACCGUAUAGGGGAGGCGAAGGGAAACCGAGUCUGAUAAGGGCGCAUAGUCGCGGGCAGUAGACCCGAAACCGGGUGAUCUAGUCAUGCCCAGGGUGAAGGUGCGGUAACACGCACUGGAGGCCCGAACCCACUCCCGUUGCAAAGGUAGGGGAUGAGGUGUGAUUAGGAGUGAAAAGCUAAUCGAACCCGGAGAUAGCUGGUUCUCCUCGAAAGCUAUUUAGGUAGCGCCUCAUAUGUAUCCUCUCGGGGGUAGAGCACUGUUAUGGCUAGGGGUCAUCGCGACUUACCAAACCAUUGCAAACUCCGAAUACCGAGACGGACUGUAUGGGAGACACACGGCGGGUGCUAACGUCCGUCGUGAAAAGGGAAACAACCCAGACCCACAGCUAAGGUCCCAAAUUUUGUGCUAAGUGGAAAACCAUGUGGAAAGGCACAGACAGCCAGGAGGUUGGCUUAGAAGCAGCCACCCUUUAAAGAAAGCGUAAUAGCUCACUGGUCGAGUCGGUCUGCGGGGAAGAUUUAACGGGGCUAAGCACAGAACCGAAGCUUGGGGUGCAUACUUUGUAUGCGCGGUAGAGGAGCGUUCCGUAAGCCGUUGAAGGUGGAUUGAGAAGUCUGCUGGAGGUAUCGGAAGUGCGAAUGCUGACAUGAGUAACGAUAAUGCGGGUGAAAAACCCGCACGCCGAAAGCCCAAGGUUUCCUUGCGCAACGUUAAUCGGCGCAGGGUGAGUCGGCCCCUAAGGCGAGGACGAAAGUCGUAGUCGAUGGGAAGCAGGUUAAUAUUCCUGCACCUCGCGUAAGUGCGAUGGAGGGACGGAGAAGGUUAGGUGUACCAGGCGUUGGUUGUCCUGGGGAAAGGCGGUAGGUUUGGAUCUUUGGCAAAUCCGGGAUCCUCUAAGACCGAGCACCGAGACGAGCCUUUAUGGCAAAGUCACUGAUACCACGCUUCCAGGAAAAGCUCCUAAGCUUCAGCUUACGCAGACCGUACCGUAAACCGACACAGGUGGGUAGGAUGAGAAUUCUCAGGCGCUUGAGAGAACUCGGGUGAAGGAACUAGGCAACAUGGCACCGUAACUUCGGGAGAAGGUGCACCCUUUUUGGUGGCUCGUGCGAGCUAUAGCUGAAGAGGGUCGCAGUAACCAGGCCGCUGCGACUGUUUAUCAAAAACACAGCACUCUGCAAACACGAAAGUGGACGUAUAGGGUGUGACGCCUGCCCGGUGCUGGAAGGUUAAUUGAUGGGGUCAGCCGCAAGGCGAAGCUCUUGAUCGAAGCCCCAGUAAACGGCGGCCGUAACUAUAACGGUCCUAAGGUAGCGAAAUUCCUUGUCGGGUAAGUUCCGACCUGCACGAAUGGCGUAACGACAGCGGCGCUGUCUCCACCCGAGACUCAGUGAAAUUGAAAUCGCUGUGAAGAUGCAGCGUUCCCGUGGCAAGACGGAAAGACCCCGUGAACCUUUACUAUAGCUUUACACUGAACGUUGAGUUCGUCUGUGUAGGAUAGGUGGGAGGCUAUGAAACCAUGGCGCUAGCUGUGGUGGAGCCAUCCUUGAAAUACCACCCUGUCGUGCUUGACGUUCUAACCUGGGCCCAUUAUCUGGGUCGGGGACCGUGUAUGGUGGGUAGUUUGACUGGGGCGGUCUCCUCCUAAAGAGUAACGGAGGAGCUCGAAGGUACGCUCAGCGCGGUCGGACAUCGCGCACUGUGUGCAAAGGCAUAAGCGUGCUUGACUGCAAGAUCGACGGAUCAAGCAGGUAGGAAACUAGGACUUAGUGAUCCGGUGGUUCUGUAUGGAAGGGCCAUCGCUCAACGGAUAAAAGGUACUCCGGGGAUAACAGGCUGAUACCGCCCAAGAGUUCAUAUCGACGGCGGUGUUUGGCACCUCGAUGUCGGCUCAUCACAUCCUGGGGCUGUAGUCGGUCCCAAGGGUAUGGCUGUUCGCCAUUUAAAGUGGUACGCGAGCUGGGUUCAGAACGUCGUGAGACAGUUCGGUCCCUAUCUGCCAUGGGCGUUGGAGAUUUGAGAGGGGCUGCUCCUAGUACGAGAGGACCGGAGUGGACGAACCUCUGGUGUUCCGGUUGUCACGCCAGUGGCAUUGCCGGGUAGCUAUGUUCGGAAGCGAUAACCGCUGAAAGCAUCUAAGCGGGAAGCGCGCCUCAAGAUGAGAUCUCCCGGGGCACAAGCCCCUUGAAGGAACCAUGUAGACUACGUGGUUGAUAGGUCAGGUGUGUAAGUACAGCAAUGUAUUGAGCUAACUGAUACUAAUGAUCCGUGCGGCUUGACCAUAUAACCU